rnacentral:rRNA from 1 species
UACGGGGGGGGCAAGCGUUGUUCGGAAUUACUGGGCGGAAAGGGUUUGUAGGUGGUCUGUUAAGUCAGACGUGAAAUCCCUCAGCUUAACUGGGGAACUGCGUCUGAGACUGAUGGACUUGAGGGCAGGAGAGGAACGCGGAAUUCCAGGUGUAGCGGUGAAAUGCGUAGAUAUCUGGAGGAACACCGGUGGCGAAGGCGGCGUUCUGGACUGUUUCUGACACUGUAAAACGAAAGCCAGGGGAGCAAACGGG